GAGGGUGUAUCUUCCCCGCCUUCUAAGUGGUCGUUAAAGAAGUAAAUGGAGUAUGCAGGUUCGAGUCCUGUCACCCUCG
rnacentral:tRNA from 1 species